UAUUAUCAUUAUCACAGACGAGGUAUGUAUCCACGCCAGGAAUAAUAUUAUUGAAUAUUACAAAAGUCCACCAGCAACAAACUGGAUUAAUUAGAUUAAUAAAAAAGAAGACACCACAAUUAUUAUAUUUGUAAAUAUAAAGAGUUCUAGAUAUUUUAUAAAUUUGAAUAAAUUAACGUUUUGAAUAAGAAUGUAAGGAUUCCUCUAAUCCGAAAAUAUAUCAACCAAACUUAUUCACCGAAACAACCGAGAGGGAGCUCGAUGACAUCGCUGACAGAAGAAAUUGUUAUAACCAUUAAAUACCGCAAAUGAAACUAAACGAACCAAAAAUACAAGAUAUUGUUUGCAGCACGAGUACGUACGUUUCAUAUAGAUUUUCACAUCGAACUACAAUAGAAUCUCGAUCAACUACAAAAACAACGCAUAUAUCUCUACGAAGGAACACGAAAGAAAAACACAUUCGACACUUUGGGCUAGUUUUAUUAAUUCAAUUAACAACGUGUUUAUAAUACUCUUCAUCUUUUCCUCUUAUUUAUAAUUACAUAAUUGUAAUGAAC